rnacentral:rRNA from 1 species
GAUGAACGCUAGCGGCAGGCCUAAUACAUGCAAGUCGAGCGGCAAGUCGAGGAGUAAUCUGAGACCUAGAGCGGCGCACGGGUGCGUAACGCGUAUGCAACCUACCCCAUACAGGGAGAUAGCCCGGAGAAAUCUGGAUUAAUACCCCAUAGCACAAUACAAGGGCAUCUGAGUAUUGUUAAGGAUUCAUCGGUAUGGGAUGGGCAUGCGUCUGAUUAGCUAGUUGGCGGGGUAACGGCCCACCAAGGCGACGAUCAGUAGGGGUUCUGAGAGGAAGGUCCCCCACACUGGCACUGAGAUACGGGCCAGACUCCUACGGGAGGCAGCAGUAGGGAAUAUUGGGCAAUGGACGAGAGUCUGACCCAGCCAUGCCGCGUGCAGGAUGACGGCCUUCUGGGUUGUAAACUGCUUUUAUCUGGGAAGAAAAGGCCCAUGCGUGGGACAUUGCCGGUACCAGAUGAAUAAGCACCGGCUAACUCCGUG